ensembl:lncRNA
CCGGAAAGUUAAGUGCCGCUAAAAGGAUAUCUGCACACCAAUGUGAUGUCGGAGAGCAUAAGAGGUGCUCAGAAACAUGAUGAUGCUGAUAAUGACAGUUAGGAUCCUGGACUGAGGGGCUACCAAGGCCAAUCACUGCUGUUGGAUGAGAACCGAUGGGCUGUCUAGCCUGGCAACAGGAUGCCAACUGCAAAAGGUAAAGGUGGCUCAACGUCCCACCGUUACCGGCCGGCCUCGGAGUAUGAUGAUGCCACGCUCGCCCUAAAGCGAGAGUACUGGAGAAACAAGAAGCGAGAGCAGCGGGCCCGUGUGUCAGAGGAGAGGGAAAGGCACAAACACAGCAGCAGCAGCCAGGGAGGGAAGCAGCUAAAUGCCCCAGCAGAAGAGGCUUCCACUCUGGCCCAGUCAUCAGGUGCUUCGUCACCUCCUCUGCAGAGUAAUGAUAAUUCAUACAAUUCUGUGUCAAAGCACGGAAAUGCUCUGGGGGAGGGGUCACGUGAAACCACUGACAGCCAAAAGGAGAAGUGGCUCCAGACAGUAAAGCUCAACAAGCGUCUGCCUCAGUUGCCAGCGUCGUGUUCUAUCUCUGCCAAAUCAGCCAGCGGCAACGCAGCCGCAGGUAAACGUCAGACAGCAAGGGACGCAACCGUUUCCUCACCCGUGUCCUCACCCGUGUCCUCACCCGUGUCCAGUGGAACUCAGCUGAACACCGUAUCCUCAGUGCCUCCAGUCAGAGUGACCAGAAUAACCAAUGGCAGCUCCAGUAAAACAGCACCUCAGCCACGUGUGUCUAUGCAGGGUGCAUCAGUCCCCAGAAACCAACAUAAGGCACCGGUUGUAUUACCCACUCAGCCCAAAGUCUUACCCACAGGUCUCGUUCUGGUGUCCUCUCCAUGCGGCCCCACUUCCACUAAAGCAGAGAGCAAAAGAGCCAUCUCAACACCUCAGAGUGGAACAAAGCGUGCCUUGGUCACCACACAGAGGGCUAAAGGUGUUGGCAAUGCACGAGCUUCUCUGGAGUCCGACGAGGAAAGAGCAGCCAAGCGUCGGGAACAGUGGCGGAUCAAAAAGCGAGAGCAGCGAGCAAAGCUUGCAGCUAGGUUAGCUAAAGCCAGAGAGAGGACACAGGGUGCAGAGAUGACGUUUCAGAGGCUAACGGCGCCAAAAACCAGACACGUGGGAAGCAUAGUUCUUCCAUCAGAGUCACUUUUGAGAGGAGCAAGCCAGAAGCAGUGUCAUACACGGGUCAAAACAUCACUUACAUCAGCCAAAAGUGAAAACAAUAAACUGCAAAGUGGGACAGCAACUGUAGUUGUAACUGCUCUGCAAACAUCUGAUGUUCCAUCUGUGAAAAAACCAGUAGACUCUCAGGGAAAGGUUCCAAGUUACGGUCAUCUUGGCGGUGUUACCCGGGGUAUCGCGAGAUAUAAAACGCCUAGACAAAGGUUCAUCGAAGCACAGAGAAACUUAAUGAACCACAGAAGUCUACGGUGUAAAUCCCCAAUGCUGCCCUCAGCUUUUGGUACCAGAAAUAUGCCCAAAAUCAACCCCGACGACACGCCCGAGCAGAUAAUAGCUAAACGGAGAGAGUACUGGCGGAUCAAAAAGCGCGAACAGCGAGCUAAGCUGUCCAUGGAGGUAAAGGUUCGGUUGAAAGAGAGAGAUUCUUUGAUGAGGAGGGUGAAACGUUACCAGAAGAUCCUCGAGGAGAUGAGGAAGACUAGAGUGCUGGCGCAGUCAACCGGAAGUGCCCUCACUCACAGCCCAGAGACCAUCGGAGGAUUCAUCAAAGAGGACGGGACGCUGACUGCUAACAUCCCUCACAGUUCUGCAUGUCACAGCAUAGCAGAAGACAAAAGCCAAGUAGAGCUUUGUGUAGUUUCUACAAACACUCCUUUGGCACAACAACAGCGUCAGCCUGACGCUAAACUGAGAAGUGUUGCUCCCAUCAGGAUAAACCCGGCUCCCCCUCCUCUUUGCUCAGCUCAGGUGAAAGUCUCUGCUCCUGGACAGCUAGCCAACAAACUGCCGCGACUGCUCGCAGUUAGACCACAGACUCACCUCAAAAGCACAACCGUUCCUAAUUUGCACUCAUCAGCUAUCCAAACUGUGGGUCAGCUCACACUUACUCAUCCACAGAGCCCUCAAAAUUCAGCAGGUUCAAACGUUAGCAGUUGUGUUAUGAAAAUGACCAUCUCGAGCAGAGCGCCAUCGCUGUCAGCCCUGUCUCUGGAUGCGGGGCUGACGGAGGAGGAGAGGAUGGCAAAGAAGAGGGAGUACUGGAGGAUAAAGAAGCGUGAGCAGAGAGCAGCUCGAGCUGUCCGACUGAGACAGGGUGUUUUACAUGCUAGGGCCGGUGCAGCCUCACAAAGGAGGAAGCCUCAGAAGCAGGGGACGCUGAUCACUGUGCCUCAGAUUAGAAAUCUCACCGACACUACAGCAACUGCACCUCCUCUUUCCAACAACAGCGUGCUUUUUCUGCCUCGUGCAAAUGAAAUGAAACAGGAGAGUGACUCCAUGCCAGCAGCUGACCUCAAUUCUCCACCAGAACAAGCCAUCUGUCCAGAUAUCAAACCCCCUAUUUCCCCACCUCCAGCACCCCAGCUGGAGUCUGACCCAUGUCUGAGCGCAGACAGCCAAACUGCCACUCUGCUAGCUGUGGCCUCCAUGAAGAAGCUCCUGGAAGAAUCUCUUAGCACAGUGACAGAAUGUAAAAGUGAGCAGAACUCUAUUAAAAUGGAGACGAUAGAAGAGGUUUCACAGCAAGACAUGAAGCCAAAUUUAUCUCAGCUGUCCUUUGAAAGGGAUGACACGGCUCCUAUUGCUGCUGACCUGACUCUGCAGAUAAAAAGCUGGGAGCUAGACAGCAAGGUCUCUGCAAAGGCCAGUUUACAAAGCCCUCAACUCAAGAACCCAUCGCAGGUGAGUGAGACAGUUCCACCUCUUCCUGCUUCCAGUGAGCUAGGUGUGCAUCAUACCAGUGAGCACUCAUCCCAGACCCCUUUGAACUACAUAGUAAACACCUCCAUGGAAGCACCACGCAGAACCCAGAGACUUUGCGCUAAAAAAGCCGGCUAUAAAACCUGCUGCUCUCCAGAGCCACCAAAGCUGCAUCACAUCACAGCCGUGACGCUGGAUAACCUGCAACCACAGCAGGAACAGCAUCAGGCACAAGAGCAGAACAUCUGCCCCGAAUCAAAGCGGAGGUACAACAGCGUGGUGACGGAGCAGAGCGGCUUGACCAGCUUGCAGAGGAAGAGGGAGUACUGGAAGCUGAUGAAGAGGCAGCAGAGGGCCAAGUUAAAGGCCAGGCAGAAAGACGGCGAGGGGGAGUGCAGCAGCGGGCUCUUCCCCAGAAGCAUUCAGACCCCGGGGCUCGUUAUUAUCAACAGUCUUAAAGGGGCGAGUCCUCCAGCAAAACGAGCCCUGCAGCCCAAACCACCUGUCUCUCCUCUGGACUCAGUGACCAGCAUCCCCACCGUUCUGGUUGUUAGCCAAACAACAUCUAAUGCUCAACAGUCAGCGUGCACGCUCCAGAGUCCCCCACACAAGAAACAAUCCUCCACCCAGCUGGCACCAGUGAGCACCAUGGUUCCUCCAAAGCCCAUCCCAGGGGAAAGUGAGCAGGACUUUCUGAGGAGGAAGCGGGAGUACUGGAGGAUAAAAAAGAAGGAGCAGAGAGCCAGGAAGGCAGUUCGGGAGAAGGGAAUCACCCAAAGCUUCAACAGCUGGAAGACUAGGCUGCCUCCCCUGGGUCUACAGACAGAGGAACCUGGUCAGUGGGUGAACUCUUCUGAGGAGUCAGAACAUCUAAUGAGCUCUUCAGUGGACUCGGCAUCCUUCACAUACUCGGAUUACACAGCCCCAAUCGAAGAUGAGUCAGAGCUGCUGUUCGCUGAAAGUGAGGACGAUUCUGUUUCCGAUGCUGUCUGGAGGAGCCGCUACCUCAUGGACUAUGACCCACUCAACCAGCUGCUGGUGUGCAUGGUGUGUGGGGAACUGCAAUAUUCCCACAGCCUAGAGGGAGUGAAGGCCCACAUUGACGAGGCCCACCCGCACACCCUAACCUUGGAGCCCGGCGAGAAAGAGCAAAUACGGGAGGCCUGGGAUGAGCAGGUGUCGCGGCGGGAACGCUUCUUCAGCAGCCAGCUGCAGCAGCACAGCAGACCUGUGGCAGAACCACACAAGAACUGAAGAGCUGAAGAGACGGCUGCAGGAGGCAGCUGAAGACCAUGGACCAGGAGAAACAAACCCCACCCCCUUUCUCUCGUGUAUUUUAUUUCUUAUCAGUGUGUUUACCUCUGCUGGAAGACACCUUGGAAAAGAAGGCCCUAAAGCAGCUUUACCUCAUUUCCUACCAGGGUUGUGUAUGUUUAUCAAAGGCAGUGAGGACAUUUUUAUACUGAAGCUGCUUCAUCCGAGAUUUGCUGUCAGUCCUUCUCCUGUUGUGUUUGUUUUUUGUGCUCCUUUUUUCUCUCAUCCACCAAUCAGCUGCAGCAAACGGUUGCUCCUGCUUCUCCCAGAAGUUUCCUCCUGUUCAAAAGGAGCUCUUCCUCCCCACUCUUGCUGCUCAGAGGGGAUCAUUGCACUUCUCUAUAAUAUUGUUGCUUCUUACAACACAGCACCUUGAGAUGAGUGUUGGAGUGAAACAUUACUACAUUUGGGAAAUCUUCACUCCGGGAAGGCUAAGCUAAUGGCAUUCUGGACAUAUCAGUUUAUUAGGCCACUGAGCUUUUUGGUCUUAAUUUAUUGAUCCAAUCACAGACUUGCACAAAUAUCUUCUUUGAUCACAUGACCUCUGUGGGCGCCAUGAUAAAAUAUAACCUGUGUUUUCCAGCUGGAGCAUACUCAUGGCCAGUUUGUACAUUGCUCUCUGCUCUGCCUUGGUGGAUUUUCUGCAGGGGUGAACAUUUCAGCAUUCUGGGAAAACACUUUAGGUAUUCCAAGGAAAAACGGGAUAAUAGGUGGUAUGGGGGUAAAAGAAUGAGUAGCUCAGAAGAAGCUCAGCUCAGUCAUGAAAUUAGCACCAGUGUCCAGGCUGUGAAUUCCACAGUGGGAAGUGUUUUAGCACCAAAUCUAAAGAAUAUUAUUGAUUGUUUAAAGUUCCUGAAAACUCCUGGAAAGUAAAAGGCGCAACCUGCUGGCUGAGCUGCUGAGAGCACAAACUGGGGCUGAAUGCACCGGACUGAGGAACACUUGCUGAAUACGUUUGUAUUGGAGGACUGGGUCACUGCAGUUGUGCAGAGACACACUACCUGUUCACUGAUAGCAGCCGUGGGAUACAAUCCAUGGCUUUUGUCAAUGUGACAUUUAUAGUUGAUUAUACAAUACGUUAAUAUUUAACCCUGGGAUCAGUCAGCUGUAGAAAAACAGCAUCAGCACAACAUUUUCUACUAUUUGGAAGCUGACAGAAUCUGCUAGUGUGCAGAUUUUCCUGCAGGCUUGUAUUCAGGUUAGUCUGCUCUAGAGCCUUGAUAGUUUCUCAAGCACUGAAUGGGGCAUCUGGAACUGAGCUGCAAUUUGCUACUGCAUCACAUCCUUACGUGUUCCUCCGGGGGCAACUUUUUGUACCGAGACAACUUUCUUAGGGACAGUUUGUCACCUCUGCGAAAAUCUCCUGCAGCACUGUAAAUAGACUAAUAUAUGACAUGCCAAAUGUGACUUUUUCUGUGCCGUUCCACAAUAUUUGGAGCAGCCUUGUUAUUUAUUGAAUCUCCUCUUACGCAAGUGAUCGUUGAUGAUGCAUUAUUCAUAUCUGUAGAAAGCUCCGUGUUAGAAAAGAAUUUCAUUUGUGAAUGUUAUCAAUCCAAGGCUUUCCUACUUAAGUAGUAAAUGGAUGAAGUGCUCUGGAAUGCUUUUCAAUGAUUUUUCUAUGGUUUUCAUGAAGACUACAACACUGAAAUAUUCUUGUAUUUGAGCACAAAGCUGAGGUGAAUACUGUCUGUGCAGCCACAACGCAGUGGAAAGAGCUUGUGGUGAUCAGAUCACUCAUGAAAAUCAGACGCGAUUGUCUGCCAGUUUAAAAAGGGAAUGUUUAAAUGCCUUUUCAGUAAUAAACUUUUUCUACUGUUCAUUCGAA